rnacentral:lncRNA from 1 species
CAGUCAUGUGUUUGUGAUCAUUAAUUGUGGUCCUAGUCACAAAACUGGGAGACGGUAAAAAAGGAACACGUGAGCCUGCGAUGCUCUUAUGGUACCCUGGAGCGCAGUUUGCUCCUAACUACUACUUGCUCAGUCUUCCAUGGGAAAUGUGAAUCUUCCCACUUUUGUCAGAGAGGACACCUGUAUUUUCCUUUUUUUUUGAGCACAAACAUAUUAAGUUGUAUGGUUGAAUUAAGUUAUUCUUGGUUUCAAAGUUGUCAGAUGACUAGAAUGGGAUGCGUUAAGUACAUGUUGGAAUUUUAUUAAUACCAUCUCAGUUUUGUUUGCUGUUCCAGUGUGCAGUGAACCCAUUUAUGAAGUAGUGAGUUAAUUCCUUAGAAAAGAAAUUUUCUCUCAAGGAGGAAUUGUUUGUUUUCACGUGAAGAACAUAAUUUAAAGUUUAUAAGUGAACUUUACUAAAGUUCAUAUUUGCUUAUUCUCACAUUAAGCUAUUCAGUUUAACUCAGUCCAUAACUAUAGCUUUGCUACGGGUUUACUGUUAUCUCCUGCCUGCCAAUUUAAUUUUUUCAUUUAAUUUUUCUAACUGUAACAAGCUUGCAACAAAAAACUCAACUCUCAUAGUGAGUCCUAAAAUCUUAAACCCACCAUGGUCUAGAAAGUCUGCUUCUGUGAAGUGUCCUUUCCGAGUUUAUUCCUGAGAUUGUUCAGACUUCCUCUGUGAUGUUCUAAGAAUGGAAAAUCAGAGGAUAAGUGUUCUGAUUUUUUUUUUUAAGCCCUUUCCCGGUAGCUAGAGAAGAAACUUGGCAAAGUAUUUAAGAAUAAAUAUUGAAUCAGCAAAUGAGGGAAGUUGUUUUAUGCU